GAUGAACGCUGGCGGCGUGCUUAACACAUGCAAGUCGAACGAUGAAGCCCAGCUUGCUGGGUGGAUUAGUGGCGAACGGGUGAGUAACACGUGAGUAACCUGCUCUUAACUCUGGGAUAAGCCUGGGAAACUGGGUCUAAUACCGGAUAGGAGCGUCCACCGCAUGGUGGGUGUUGGAAAGAUUUAUCGGUUUUGGAUGGACUCGCGGCCUAUCAGCUUGUUGGUAAGGUAAUGGCUCACCAAGGCGACGACGGGUAGCCGGCCUGAGAGGGUGACCGGCCACACUGGGACUGAGACACGGCCCAGACUCCUACGGGAGGCAGCAGUGGGGAAUAUUGCACAAUGGGCGCAAGCCUGAUGCAGCGACGCCGCGUGAGGGAUGACGGCCUUCGGGUUGUAAACCUCUUUCAGUAGGGAAGAAGCGAAAGUGACAGUACCUGCAGAAGAAGCACCGGCUAACUACGUG
rnacentral:rRNA from 1 species